rnacentral:rRNA from 1 species
UUGAACGCUGGCGGCAUGCCUUACACAUGCAAGUCGAACGGCAGCACGGGUGCUUGCACCUGGUGGCGAGUGGCGAACGGGUGAGUAAUACAUCGGAACAUGUCCUGUAGUGGGGGAUAGCCCGGCGAAAGCCGGAUUAAUACCGCAUACGAUCCACGGAUGAAAGCGGGGGACCUUCGGGCCUCGCGCUAUAGGGUUGGCCGAUGGCUGAUUAGCUAGUUGGUGGGGUAAAGGCCUACCAAGGCGACGAUCAGUAGCUGGUCUGAGAGGACGACCAGCCACACUGGGACUGAGACACGGCCCAGACUCCUACGGGAGGCAGCAGUGGGGAAUUUUGGACAAUGGGCGAAAGCCUGAUCCAGCAAUGCCGCGUGUGUGAAGAAGGACUUCGGGUUGUAAAGCACUUUUGUCCGGAAAGAAAUCCUUGACUCUAAUACAGUCGGGGGAUGACGGUACCAGAAGAAUAAGCACCGGCUAACUACGUG